UUUUUGCGUGAGGGAUUGAAGUGAAGCUCUUUUUAUUGGAGUGAUGUUUAUCACUUUAAUAAAAAAGCGGGAACAAAAAGCCCGACCCAAA
rnacentral:sRNA from 1 species